UGGGGAAUAUUGCACAAUGGGCGCAAUCCUGAUGCAGCCAUGCCGCGUGUAUGAAGAAGGCCUUCGGGUUGUAAAGUACUUUCAGCGGGGAGGAAGGCGAUAAGGUUAAUAACCUUGUCGAUUGACGUUACCCGCAGAAGAAGCACCGGCUAACUCCGUGCCAGCAGCCGCGGUAAUACGGAGGGUGCAAGCGUUAAUCGGAAUUACUGGGCGUAAAGCGCACGCAGGCGGUCUGUCAAGUCGGAUGUGAAAUCCCCGGGCUCAACCUGGGAACUGCAUUCGAAACUGGCAGGCUAGAGUCUUGUAGAGGGGGGUAGAAUUCCAGGUGUAGCGGUGAAAUGCGUAGAGAUCUGGAGGAAUACCGGUGGCGAAGGCGGCCCCCUGGACAAAGACUGACGCUCAGGUGCGAAAGCGUGGGGAGCAAACA
rnacentral:rRNA from 1 species